rnacentral:rRNA from 1 species
CGCACGGGUGCGUAACGCGUAUGCAACCUGCCUUAUACAAAGGGAUAGCCCACGGAAACGUGGAUUAAUACCUUAUAGUACUAAUGAAUCGCAUGGUUUAUUGGUUAAAAUUUCGAUGGUAUAAGAUGGGCAUGCGUCUGAUUAGCUAGUUGGUGAGGUAACGGCUCACCAAGGCGACGAUCAGUAGGGGUUCUGAGAGGAUUAUCCCCCACACUGGUACUGAGACACGGACCAG